rnacentral:rRNA from 1 species
CCUACGGGUGACAGCAGUGGGGAAUAUUGCACAAUGGGGGAAACCCUGAUGCAGCGACGCCGCGUGAGUGAAGAAGUAUUUCGGUACGUAAAGCUCUAUCAGCAGGGAAGAAAAUGACGGUACCUGACUCAGAAGCCCCGGCUAAAUCCGUGCCAGCAGCCGCGGUAAUACGUCGGGGGCACGCGUUCUCCGGAUUUACUGGGUGUAAAGGGAGCGUAGACGGCAGGGCAAGUCUGGAGUGAAAUCCCAUGGAUUAACCAUGGAACUGCUUUGGAAACUGGGCAGCUGGAGUGCAGGAGAGGUAAGCGGAAUUCCUGGUGUAGCGGUGAAAUGCGUAGAUAUUAGGAGGAACACCAGUGGCGAAGGCGGCCUGCUGGACAGAAACUGACGUUGAGGCUCGAAAGCGUGGGGAGCAAACAGGAUUAGAUACCCCAGUAGUC